AUCCUUUUUGUUCUUGCAUAGGAUGAGUGGGUUGUCAUGCAGUUGCAUGAAAUGUGUCUUCCCUUAUGUUGUGAUCUGAUGCAAUACCUUUCUGAUU